rnacentral:rRNA from 1 species
GACGAACGCUGGCGGCGUGCUUAACACAUGCAAGUCGAACGGAGAACUUUCUUCGGAAUGUUCUUAGUGGCGAACGGGUGAGUAAUGCAUCGGAACGUGUCCUGUUGUGGGGGAUAACUGAUCGAAAGAUCAGCUAAUACCGCAUGAGACCUGAGGGUCAAAGGCGCAAGUCGCCUGUGGAGGAACCUGCGUUCGAUUAGCUAGUUGGUGGGGUAAAGGCCUACCAAGGCGAUGAUCGAUAGCUGGUUUGAGAGGAUGAUCAGCCACACUGGGACUGAGACACGGCCCAGACUCCUACGGGAGGCAGCAGUGGGGAAUAUUGGACAAUGGGCGAAAGCCUGAUCCAGCAAUGCCGCGUGUGUGAAGAAGGUCUUCGGAUUGUAAAGCACUUUCGACGGGGACGAUGAUGACGGUACCCGUAGAAGAAGCCCCGGCUAACUUCGUG